AUGGCCUGUGUAGCAAGCAAUGCAUAUGAUCUCUCACAGCAAGGUACUAUCUUUAGGGAGGCCAAGUAUAUGCUGUUUACUGGUUUGAUCGAGUACAAAGUUGUAUCCCGUGUCCAAGAAUGUAAUCGUGUUGCUCAUACAUUAGCGGGUCAUGGUGCGUCUAUGGAACCUGAUGCUCAUUUGUUGUGGCAUGGUACGGUUCUAGACUUUGUAAUCUCUGAUGUAGCCAGAGAGUAUGCACGCACUAUGCUGCGAGGAGAGGACAGAUCGAGUGCCGUAUGUGUGUGUGAAUCUACUAGUGUCCGAUUUAUGUUCAUGAAUCAGCUCAUAUGUUGUUUCUCGUGUUGA
rnacentral:rRNA from 1 species